GCCUGGGUAGCUCAGUUAGUAGAGUAUCAUACUUUUAAUCUGAAGGUCCAGGGUUUAACUCCCUGUUCGGGUA